AAAGACUUAGUCCUAACCUUACAGUUAAUUCUUGCUAGACAUAUACAUGCAAGUAUCCGCGCCCCAGUGUAAAUGCCCCUAAUCUCUUACUAAGACAAAAGGAGCAGGUAUCACGCAGACC
rnacentral:rRNA from 1 species